CCAAUGUCUGCUUGGUGGACACUGGAAUGGACUACACUGGAGAGACAGAGGGCCAUUCUGGGGGAUUGUGCUGAUGGUCUCAGGGGCCUUUAGACAAGAUGUCAUGUACCCAGACCUCAAGAUGUCUGUAUAGCAGAGCAUGGCCCUAAACUUCUGAUUCCCCCCACCUCUGUCUUCCUUAGUGCUGGGAUUACAGGCUGGUCUCACUCCAGCACGUGAUUCUCCCAGGACAGCUGUAUUCUGCUGCUCUGCAAGAGAUCCAGCCUGCUGGGUCUGAGUCCCCCAUCACAUGCUCAGGAGUGUUCAGCAGGUAAAGGCCCUCACCACCAAACCUGAUGUGGGCGGAGAGAACC
rnacentral:lncRNA from 1 species